AGCGAACGCUGGCGGAAUGCUUAACACAUGCAAGUCGCACGCCCUGCAAGGGGAGUGGCGGACGGGUGAGUAACGCGUAGGAAUACGUCCAGAGGAGGGGGACAACCCUGGGAAACUGGGGCUAAUACCGCAUAUGGGCGGAGGCCCAAAGCAGUGAUGCGCCUUUGGGGUAGCGUGCGUCCGAUUAGGUUGUUGGUGGGGUAAAGGCUUACCAAGGCGACGAGCGGUAGCUGGUCUGAGAGGACGACCAGCCACACUGGGACUGAGACACGGCCCAGACUCCUACGGGAGGCAGCAGUGAGGAAUAUUGGACAAUGGGCGCAAGCCUGAUCCAGCAAUGCCGGGUGGGUGAAGAAGGUCUUCGGAUUGUAAAGCCCUUUCGACGGGGACGAUGAUGACGGUACCCGUAGAAGAAGCCCCGGCUAACUUCGUGCCAGCCGCCGCCGUAA
rnacentral:rRNA from 1 species